CAUGUCAGGGAGACGCUGUGUGUUUCUAGGCGAAAGCAAAAGCACUUUAUUUGGCCUUCCGAAAGUAGAUGCAUUUAGGAAUCAUUAAGAUUACUUACAACAGAACAGCACAACCCAGAGGUUAUCACAACGCAUUUUAUGGACGACCGUUCUGUGAACCUAGGAGAGGAGGUGAAGUACUGAAUGCCAGAGUGACAAGUGCUGCAAGAUACAAGUUGGUACACUUUCAGAAAAAAGUUGUUCUCCAGUACUUCCCUCCCUCACGCAUCACUGACAGAGCUGAUAAAUGGCAGGUGCAGCUGGAUUAUCUGUGAAUGUGCUGAAAAACCAUCAGGGAGACAAGAGGGCUUCAUUUCUGAGCAUAGCCUGUGGGUCGCCUGAUGACUCCUCACAAUGACAACACCUAUCAGAGCCGAUGCACAGCAGCCUGUGUCCCCAAAGAAUCUGAUGUAGCCCAGUGAAUUUAGUUUAUUGCCCCUAGUUAAAUUUAGAUAUGCUUUUUAAAAGUUCUGAGAAACUUACAAAGUAGUAGGCCUACACUAUUCAUGCAGAGCAAUGUGAACAUUGCCAAAGUUGCUCAUAAAACCUAACCUUUAACCUGCUUGCUAAGUAAAGCAUCAGUCUAUGCUCCUAAAAAUAAAUGUUAUUGACUAUGGCUCCAUGAACAAGCUUUAACAUUCAUGAAAGCCUUCCAAAAGAGUCUUUAUAGUGGAAAAAUUAUUUAGAUUAUUAAAAUAAUGGUUAUGAAAACGAACUGUUGAUUGAAAGGUUCUUUUGGGAUACAGAAAUGAUUUUCCUAUGGAAUUGCUGUGAAAACUUGCUUUUGGUACCUUUAUUUUUAUGAGCGCAGCAUCUUACACUAAAAACUACCAGGAUAUUUUAGACAUGAAACCAUGGUAGUACCAUGAAUACACCAUGGUACAUGAAAAUAAGGUAAUUCCGUGUCAACUCAACCAGAGGUCCC